rnacentral:rRNA from 1 species
UCGGGAAUUUUGGGCAAUGGGCGAAAGCCUGACCCAGCAACGCCGCGUGAAGGAUGAAGUAUUUCGGUAUGUAAACUUCGUAAGAAUAGGAAGAAUAAAUGACGGUACUAUUUGUAAGGUCCGGCUAACUACGUGCCAGCAGCCGCGGUAAUACGUAGGGACCAAGCGUUGUUCGGAUUUACUGGGCGUAAAGGGCGCGUAGGCGGUGUGUCAAGUCAGUUGUGAAAUCUCCGAGCUUAACUCGGAACGGUCAACUGAUACUGUCACACUAGAGUACAGAAGGGGCAAUCGGAAUUCUUGGUGUAGCGGUGAAAUGCGUAGAUAUCAAGAGGAACACCUGAGGCGAAGGCGGGUUGCUGGGCUGAUACUGACGCUGAUGCGCGAAAGCAAGGGGAUCAAACAGGAUUAGAUACCCAUGUAGUCCCUGAGCGGGCUGGCAAGGCGCAU